AUGGCCGUCUGCCGCACCAUGGCGCGAGCCAUCGGUCAACGCUGCACCUCCCUCUCCUCUUUCCUCUCUCUUUCUCCUUCCUCUCCUUACUUCUCUCUCCCUCAUCUUCUCUUUCUUCCGCAGGGACCGAUCCAUGGCGCUGGAUCGAUUCGAGCGUCGCCCUUCCCUUGCAGGUCGCUGCCGCACCCUCACGCCUCGGGUCCGGUGGGAUCCGGGAUGACGAGGGGGGAUGGGAUGCGUGAGGGGAAGGUCGCUGCCGCUCCACCAUCUCCCCCUCCUCCGCCACCAGAGGGCGCCGCCGCCACCGUUGUCGAGGGAGUGGAGGGCAUGAGGAGAGCGCUGCCGCUGUUGUCCUUUGCCUGCAGGUCGGCACCGUGGUGGGGAUCCAAGAAGGAGGAGGGGGCAGAAGGGAGGAAUGGUGGGGGGCUGUGGGAGAAGAGGAGGCGGCUGAGGAGGAGGAGGCGGAGCCCGGGCACGCUCGGGGUGGAGCACGGGAGGAUGGAGGCGGCCGUGGGAUUGGGGAAAGGGGUCUAG
rnacentral:rRNA from 1 species